CAAAGAUCACAUUCCUUAGAUAUUGUUCCUGCUUUGCCUCUUGGGUUGGGAUGGAAAGGAGAAUUGGUCUGGAUCAAUAUGCGGGCAUGCCAGCAUUAUUUGUAUCGAAAAAAAAUAGAUGGUAAUGGGUUCCGUUGCCUUGACCUUCAAGGAUAUUUGCUAGUGGGCUACUUCCUUCUCGGGGAAGGGAGUGAUAAAUACAAUGCUACACUAAUAACUAUGAACUAAGGACAAAUAAAAUUAAAGAAAGAUAAGUGGAAGAUAAAAUAGAGAUGCUGAUCAUUGAUUCUGCAAAGCCGUUUUCAGAAUUACAAUCUAGCAUUUAGGCAUCUCCUCAUUUACCAUCAAACAGUUCCAUCUCUAGCAUUGAUACCUAUCAUUUCCAGUUAUUAUCACCUCUUCCACUUUCUCCUGCUGGUUGCUGCAGCUAGUUCUAACCAUUUGUCUCCACUUUCCACGUCCUAGUCUCUCGGUAACUGUCUCCACUUCACACUGCAUCAGGCCAAUGUCUUAGUAUAGAACAUGAUCAGCCUUUAAAUCAAUACUUAGCCUCUCAGGUAAGCUAUACUAGAAAUUGGC
rnacentral:lncRNA from 1 species